UAUAAAGAAUUUGGUAUUACAUUAUAAGAAACCUUUUUGUUUGUAAUUUUCUGUCCUCUGACACAGUUUGACACAAAGGGUACGUUUGGUUCGUUGGAAUCUAAAUUCCAGGAAAAUCGCUAAUUUUAGGCACAGAAUCACUAGAUUUUAGGAGUGAAAUUGGAAAGCAGAUUCCGGUGAUGUGUAACUUAAGAGAAUUUUGUUUCCAUAUAUGAAAUAAGUAAACCAGUUUCCAUAAUUGAUAGUAGAAUACCGUCAAGUGUUUAAUCUUCAUCAGAAUUAUGGAAUUUGAAUUCCUCGAACCAAACACAGCCAAAGUGUUUAUUUAUUGUGUGAAUGACAAGGAGCCAAGGACUUUGAUUUUUGGG
rnacentral:lncRNA from 1 species